rnacentral:lncRNA from 1 species
UUUUUGUGAUAGAAACUUAUAAAGGUGCUAUUUUGGAGAUUUGCACUUUAAUUAAUGAAGUAAAAACAUUUUCAAAUGGGUACUUCUCUUUUAAUAAUAUAGAUGAUAUUCGAUAGCAUGGUCAUCCCGGAUUUGGCAUUUCAAACUUGAUUCAGAGACAUUAUAUUUGGUAAAAAGAGAUUAUAUUUGGGAUUUGGCUCAAGAACAUGUGUUGAUUUGUCCAUGAGACUAACUUGUUACACAUAUGUGUCUUGCAUCUAAAACAUCACUUAUCACGAGAAAUUUGGCUCAUAAUUUUCUUUUAAUGUUUUAUGAAUUAUAAUCCAUUCACGUCCAUUUACUCCUAUAUUUUCUUUUUAACUUAUUCCAUUUAUACUUCACCCAUGUUCACUCAGCAUAAUUCGGCCAGGUGUAAGGGUGCGGGUGGUAACACCAGAUCUUUGAAAACUCUUAUGGAAUUAAGUAUCGAGUAUUUUCGUCAAACAUCAGAUUGGAAACUCUUCCUGUACUUGUAGAUGUAAUCAAGUAUAGUUAUUGCUUAAAUACGUAUUUAGGUUUAUAAUUUUAAAUUGCAUGCUUGACUUUGUAGUUACUACAAAACUAUAAGCGUGUACUUAUGGACUUUGAAAUUAAUUUCAGAUUUAGAAAUUCUAAUAGAAAAAAUGACUGGAUAGCAAUAAAAAAGUUUUUGUCACAAAUAUAGCUUUUAAAAAUAAAAAUGACCAAAAUAGCACUUAAUGUUUUAUCAAAAUAGAUAAAUAUACACUUAUACCCCAAUGAUAAAUUAAUUUAGACAUUAGGGUUUAGAGUUAAGGGGUGGGGUUUAGGAUUUAGGGUUUACGAUUUAAGGUUUAGAGUUUAGGGUUUAGGGUUUAGAGUUUAGGGGUAGGGUUUAGAGUUUAGAGUUAAGGGGUGUGGUUUAGGAUUUAGGGUUUAGGGUUUAGGAUUUAGGGUUUAGGGUUUAUGGUUUAGAGCUUAGGGUUUAGGGUUUAGAGUUGGAGAGUGGGGUUUUGGGAUAAGAUUUCAAAUUUUGAAAAAUAAAAAAAAAUUAAAUUUUUCAAAAGAUAAAAUGCUAUUUUGAUCAUUUUAGUUUCGAGUGCUAUUUUUGUGACAUAAACUUAAAAAUGUGCUAUUUUAGAGAUUUGUCCAUUAUAGUAUGACAAUUUAAGACUUCACGUGGCCGAGGCCGAGUAUAUCGUGUCCGCGGCAAUAUAUAUGUUUUCAAUAUUUACGCCAUAUGAGGUCAAACUGAACCGACCGGAUGAAAUCCAUUCACAUGGACCAUAUAACUUGUCACUGCAGUUAUAUAUUUUAAAUUCUGGUCUAUAUGCAUUUAAUUUAUUGUUCAUCUCUAUGCAUCUGAAUUUUUUAAUGGUCGAGUUUCAACUGAGGCAUGACAUAAAGUUAAGUGGGAAAACAUUACUGGAAUCAAAGAUAAAAAUGCCAUAGAACUAUAGAGUUAGUGGUUGUGUUAUGUACCUA